rnacentral:rRNA from 1 species
UAAAUAACUAAUACAUGCACGUCGAGCGGGGUUGUGUAGAAGCUUGCUACUACAUAACCUAGCGGCGGACGGGUGAGUAACACGUAGGCAACCUGCCCACAAGACAGGGAUAACUACCGGAAACGGUAGCUAAUACCCGAUACAUCCUUUUCCUGCAUGGGAGAGGGAGGAAAGACGGAGCAAUCUGUCACUUGUGGAUGGGCCUGCGGCGCAUUAGCUAGUUGGUGGGGUAAAGGCCUACCAAGGCGACGAUGCGUAGCCGACCUGAGAGGGUGAUCGGCCACACUGGGACUGAGACACGGCCCAGACUCCUACGGGAGGCAGCAGUAGGGAAUCUUCCGCAAUGGGCGAAAGCCUGACGGAGCAACGCCGCGUGAGUGAUGAAGGUUUUCGGAUCGUAAAGCUCUGUUGCCAGGGAAGAACGUCUUGUAGAGUAACUGCUACAAGAGUGACGGUACCUGAGAAGAAAGCCCCGGCUAACUACGUGCCAGCAGCCGCGGUAAUACGUAGGGGGCAAGCGUUGUCCGGAAUUAUUGGGCGUAAAGCGCGCGCAGGCGGCUCUUUAAGUCUGGUGUUUAAUCCCGAGGCUCAACUUCGGGUCGCACUGGAAACUGGGGAGCUUGAGUGCAGAAGAGGAGAGUGGAAUUCCACGUGUAGCGGUGAAAUGCGUAGAGAUGUGGAGGAACACCAGUGGCGAAGGCGACUCUCUGGGCUGUAACUGACGCUGAG